CAGGCAUCAAUUUUCAAUUUGACAUUAACUACGAAAGGAAAUGAUGAAGUAAAAUUCCUAAGUAUUGAGCUGUCACUGGAGAAAAGAUUUAUGUUAGUCUCUGGCAUCAAAUCAUGACUCAGAUCGUCACUAGUAGGCACACCAUUUCUUUUCUUUGACACUUUUAGGAGCCUGAUAGGAGAGGAUUCUGGAUUUGUCGAAGUGUACACUUCCUUCUGUGCACUUAUCUGAACGGUUCGUGAAGAGCAUCCUUUCAAUCUAAGUAUGUAUCUCAAGGAGACUCACUCACCAAUGCCAGCACUUCAGCACACCCGCAGAAGGAGUGCAUGGACUCCAUGACCACAUUGCAAAGACUGACUUCUGUCUGCACAAGAAAUUCAGAGACCAGUAGUUCCCUCCCGGCAUGGACAGAAAAACUUCCCUGCAGCCUCUUUCCAUUUAGUCUGGUGAAAUUGAACGUAAACUGCCCUGAGGGCAAGCUGGAUCCCAGCUGGAAUCUCACCCUGUUGCUAGGCUUCGCCCAACAGCCCACUACUUUGUCUUCACAUCCAUACAAGGACUGUGUAAGGAAAAGAGCAGAUAAACGUUUCUUCUUCAUAGCCAAUUCUGACAUUAUAUAAUAACAGAUACACACCUGCAAUAUCAAGUGAGCUACUAUUUUCUUCAUUAAAAGUCAAGCAGAAGUCCAUCAUAUUCUACGGGAAGCUAUGACAUUAGGCUAAAGACAUCACUCAGGAUUUUCUCUCUGGCGUCCAGAUUUUCCUCUUAUUUUAACCUCAUUUUAAC
rnacentral:lncRNA from 1 species